AGGACCAGGGUGCAAUCAGUUUUCUCUGCUGUUUAUGAAGAAGCAGACAUUGAAACUCUGCUGUGGAUGUCUUACUGAUGAAUUUUAGAUGACUUAAACUAGACUAGUCCCAAUUAUAUUUUUUUUUCAUCAAUCUUGUGGGUGCCAAAAUGUUCUUCUUAAAAUGCUAGGAAGAUUGUGACCUCUAAGGGGAUAGGAACUCCACAAGAAGACCAACAAAAUCAUCUAACUUGGAAGCUUGGUGCUCUCAGAGACUGAACCACCAACCAAAGAACUUAGACUGUCUGGAUCUAAGUCUCCCUGGUCAUAUGUGCACAUAUGAAGCUUUGUCUUAAUCUGGGUCCCGACCAACUGGAGCAGGGCCUAUGUCAAAAGCUGUUGCCUACAUGUGGAAUAUGUUCAGUGCUGGGGGACCGGGGGAUACCCAGAGGGGCCCCACUCACUCAGAGUAGAAAGGGGGGAAUGGGAAAAGGAUUGUGGGAGUGGGUGGGUGACCCAGAGGAGGGCAGUUAGUAAUGUGUAAAGUGAGUAAGGAAAAAAACUAUUAUAUUUGUUAAGGUGAAAAGGACAAAACUGUUGAAAUUUACAUUUUUUUCACAUUAACUCCCCUGUAAUACCCGGGGACUUACUUGGUAAUUGAGCAUCCCAGGAGAGCUUUUAGAUAGUAGUCAUGAAAGGAGUGGCUGCAAAUGUAAGGGAGUCCAAAAGUGUGCACUAGCACAACUGUCCACACUCUUUUAUUUUGUGGUCAUUUGACAGUGUGAACUUGUUCCAGAAGAAGGGGCAAUGCCUGGACCCUGCUCAGAAGGUUUUGUACAGAGACUGCAUGUCACAGAAUUAAAGCGGUCAGAUUUCAAAUGAAGUGAAAUCCUCGGAGGAAUGACAAAAAUUUUCAUAAAAUAUUCAAACGUCUUGUGAAUCUCUUUGAGAGGGCUCACUGAUCACCCAGACCUGCUCACCUGUGGAGCAAAACAGAAACCUGGAAGGUGGAGAGGGAGGAGACAGUAGCUAAGGAUCCAGGUAUGUUGGAGGAUUGGUGAAGGGAUGGCAAGGGGAUCAAGUGAAUGUGAAAGUGGGACAUGAAAUCAGUUUUGCCACAUUCUGUUUCACUAGAAAUAAUUCUGGAGACAUCCACUGAGAAAAAUCUCCUUAGGAUUGUCCUAAGUUAGAGAUGAGAAGAUUUUCUACAGCAGAAUUGAUAUAAGGCGGCAAUAAAAUUUUCUUUUAUUC
rnacentral:lncRNA from 1 species